rnacentral:rRNA from 1 species
UGGUAGUNCACGCCGUAAACGAUGAGUGCUAGGUGUUAGACCCUUUCCGGGGUUUAGUGCCGCAGCUAACGCAUUAAGCACUCCGCCUGGGGAGUACGACCGCAAGGUUGAAACUCAAAGGAAUUGACGGGGGCCCGCACAAGCGGUGGAGCAUGUGGUUUAUUUCGAAGCAACGCGAAGAACCUUACCAGGUCUUGACAUCCCUCUGACCGCUCCAGAGAUAGGGUUUUCCUUCGGGACAGAGGUGACAGGUGGUGCAUGGUUGUCGUCAGCUCGUGUCGUGAGAUGUUGGGUUAAGUCCCGCAACGAGCGCAACCCCUAUUGUUAGUUGCCAUCAUUCAGUUGGGCACUCUAGCGAGACUGCCGGUAAUAAACCGGAGGAAGGUGGGGAUGACGUCAAAUCAUCAUGCCCCUUAUGACCUGGGCUACACACGUGCUACAAUGGCUGGUACAACGAGUCGCAAGCCGGUGACGGCAAGCUAAUCUCUUAAAGCCAGUCUCAGUUCGGAUUGUAGGCUGCAACUCGCCUACAUGAAGUCGGAAUCGCUAGUAAUCGCGGAUCAGCACGCCGCGGUGAAUACGUUCCCGGGCCUUGUACACACCGCCCGUCACACCACGAGAGUUUGUAACACCCGAAGUCGGUGAGGUANCCUUUUAGGAGCCAGC